CCUACGGGAGGCAGCAGUAGGGAAUCUUUCACAAUGGGCGAAAGCCUGAUGGAGCAACGCCGCGUGCAGGAUGAAGGCCCUCGGGUUGUAAACUGCUUUUAUAAGCGAGAAAUAUGAUGGUAACUUAUGAAUAAGGAUCGGUUAACUACGUGCCAGCAGCCGCGGUCAUACGUAGGAUCCGAGCAUUAUCACGAGUGACUGGGUGUAAAGAGUUGCGUAGGUGGCAUAAUAAGUAGCUAGUGAAAUCUGGUGGCUCAACCAUUCAGACUAUUAGCUAAACUGUUAAGCUCGAGACCGUUAGAGGUAAGUGGAAUGUGUGGUGUAGGAGUGAAAUCCAUAGAUAUUAGAAGGAACACCGAUUGCGAAGGCAGGUUACUGGGACGGGUCUGACGCUAAGGCACGAAAGCGUAGGGAGCGAACGGGAUUAGAUACCCGGGUAGUC
rnacentral:rRNA from 1 species